rnacentral:rRNA from 1 species
ACGAACGCUGGCGGCAGGCUUAACACAUGCAAGUCGAGCGCCCCGCAAGGGGAGCGGCAGACGGGUGAGUAACGCGUGGGAAUCUACCCAUCACUACGGAACAACUCCGGGAAACUGGAGCUAAUACCGUAUACGUCCUUCGGGAGAAAGAUUUAUCGGUGAUGGAUGAGCCCGCGUUGGAUUAGCUAGUUGGUGGGGUAAAGGCCUACCAAGGCGACGAUCCAUAGCUGGUCUGAGAGGAUGAUCAGCCACACUGGGACUGAGACACGGCCCAGACUCCUACGGGAGGCAGCAGUGGGGAAUAUUGGACAAUGGGCGAAAGCCUGAUCCAGCCAUGCCGCGUGAGUGAUGAAGGCCCUAGGGUUGUAAAGCUCUUUCAACGGUGAAGAUAAUGACGGUAACCGUAGAAGAAGCCCCGGCUAACUUCGUG